rnacentral:rRNA from 1 species
CAAGACUCCUACGGGAGGCAGCAGUGGGGGAUAUUGCACAAUGGGGGGAACCCUGAUGCAGCGACGCCGCGUGGGUGAAGGAGUAUUUCGGUAUGUAAAGCCCUAUCGGCAGGGAAGAAGCAAGACGGUACCUGACUAAGAAGCCCCGGCUAACUACGUGCCAGCAGCCGCGGUAAUACGUAGGGGGCGAGCGUUAUCCGGAUUCACUGGGUGUAAAGGGAGCGUAGACGGCCAUGCAAGCCAGGGGUGAAAGCCCGGGGCCCAACCCCGGGACUGCCCUUGGAACUGUGCGGCUAGAGUGCGGGAGGGGCAGGCGGAAUUCCUAGUGUAGCGGUGAAAUGCGUAGAUAUUAGGAGGAACACCAGUGGCGAAGGCGGCCUGCUGGACUGCAACUGACGUUGAGGCUCGAAGGCGUGGGGAGCAAACAGGAUUAGAUACCCCCGUA